UUAAUUAAUGUACGUUUCUAUUCAAUAUUACGUUAUAAUCUAUUAUUUGAUUAUCUUCUUUUCUUUGAUUGUCUUUUUGGUUACUCCAUUUACCGGUAAAUGAUUUUUCGAGAUGCAAUUUAAUCGAUAAUUGUUUCAUUUUCAAAUAAUCUAUUCUUUGUAUACAUUUAUUUUAACGUUUUGAUUUUUAUUUGUGCAGAUCAUUGCUUCAUUGCGAGGGAAACUUCGAAGCAUUAGAGGCAUAUCACGAAAUUCAAAAGGACACUGCGAUGUUCGACGGUGAAUCCGAAAACUUUUCAUGCAGAUUUGAUCCCCGAUUGGGUUCGCUUCGACUCUUGGAAUAGUAGCUGAUUGUCGACUAUCGACGAGCGUGUGUCGCCCGUAUGCAACGUAUUGCGAACCAAAAAGCUGACGGCGGAUCCUCCAAAGGCUGGUUCGUUUCGCUUUGUCGCAGUAAAGGCUUGACAAAUAGGGAAUCGGCGCGGAGGCUAUCGAGUGCCGUAAUUACUCGACGCAACGCGUACUCGCCUAUGCGUAGAGAUGAUAAGAAGGGCGAUACGACGCGACAAAAACGAGGAAACGAUUUCUCGUCUUUCCAAUUCUUUGGACGAAGCGUAAAUUCAAUUCGAGAAGGAACACGUAUGAAAACAGUGUUAACGGGCUCGACGAAACGUACCGCGUUGUUCUUGUCUUGCUUGACCGCCUCUGUGCGUAUACGGAACUUUUGAAAUGGCGAAACGAGCGGACCUCGCCGCGCGGCGCAUAGAGUUUCAUCUCGGGAGAUUACACGAAUCGUGAUCAAAGUAAACCGGUGAAGAAACGAAGCUUGCUAACGACGAGAGGAUCAGGGCGAGGAAAAGUGAAGCGAACGGAUAGGGGAAGAAAAUAGAAGAAUGUGAGAGAAACGGCCGAGAUGGGUGGCAAUGGGAGAAGGAGGAAGGAGACGAGAGGAAGGGUGAAACGAUCCGCGGUGGCGGCGGCGGAGGCGGCGGCGGCGGCGGCGGCGACGGCAGCAGCAGUAUUCCGGUUUUUUGAUAUCGGCUGGUUUUCGCGGUAGUAGCAGUAUCGAGCUAACAAUUAAUUAUUGGCGGCGCUUCAGAGGGCUGCCGGCAGCCGUAGUUAAACAUUACGCGUUCCAUAUCUUACUGUGCUAUCUAAUCCCCACGGGGGCUCGAGCGCUACUGCAGUAAUCUCGUUUAAUUGCCGGCUGUAGACGCGAGAGUCCCGUUCAAUUAGUUUUUCAAAUAAACAUUAGUUUCCUUAACACGCGGUGCCAUAACGUGGCGGAGGAUGAGGGCAAGGACGAGGACGAGAACGAGAACGAGAACGAGGGCGAGGAUGAGGCUCUGCGGAGAGAGUAGAGAAACAGCCCGAUAGCGGAAAGAAGAUAGGAACGGUCAAAUCGGUGGAGAAAGAGAGAACUGGUUGGUGAAAGGGACAGAAGAGAAGGAGAAGGAGGAGGUGGCAGCGAUGGUAGUGGCAGUAGGGAACAAAGCGAGAAAGUAAGAGGGGCAAAUCGAAGGUGGGAAAAGAGAAAGAGGCAAGCGCGGGGGGGUUUUGGGAGGAAGAGGAGGAUAGCGUGGUACACUCGGAAGGCAGGUCGGUAGAGGUGACGGGUCUAUGGAACAGAAGGGUGACGGUGGAGGAGGCGGCGGUAGCGGACGUAGUGGAGGUUGGCGGAGACGGUUAGAGGGAGGAGAAAUACCAGUGGAAGAGAAGGGUGGUGUCGCGGCCGCGGGAUACGAAAGUUUGCGAGGGAUUGUCCGAAAGGAGGAUACGGGCAAACGGUGAUCGACGAAGGAAAAUACACGAGGGAAGUGCAUCGAGAACGAUCCAGACACCACGUUGCGCGAAUGGCCGCGCCGACACGAUAUUAAAACAUUAAAAUAACGUACGACCGUGCAAAAACGAAAGGCUACGGUUGACGCGAUCCUUUCAUCGCAAUUCCGACCGUCCGGUACUCUAUUCAAACACGAUCAUUCGUUUCGUUAUUACGCGGCAUUUUUCACCGAUGGACAAGCGCGUAUGGCUUACGCAUCGCGCAUUCGUCAUUCGUCCCGACGAUCCCGCGAAUUUAUCAAUUUAUCAAUUUUUAAAUGUUACACGUUUCCCGGUAAUGGACUAGGACACUGCAAACAUGACGCAGCGUAAUAGAUGGAGGCGCGAGGAGCAAGACACCGGGGAAGGAGCGAGAAGAAAAGGGGACCGGAUCAACGCCGUAUCUUCUCGACGUUCCGCAGCUACUGCUGCCAUCUGGAACCACGAAUGUUCGAACAAGUUGCGGACACGGCAGAUCGCAGCGCGUGGACCUCGUCGAAGAGAAACAAAAUGAAGGAAAAGGAGAAAGUUUCCUUCUUGGAACAGGGGGAGAGGAUGGACUCGAUAUCAGUUGUUUCUCCAUCGUCUUCUCUCGGCCACCGUGUUUGGACGUAUGCGUCAGUCUUCUCUUUUGGAAAUGUUACUGGCCGAGACAAAGACGUAAACAAAACAUUAUAUACAGUAGAACCUCAUUUAUCCGAUCUAAUCGAGAGACAAGGGCGUUCAGAUGAGGGAAUUUUCGGAUAAUAGAACAGUUACUUUUUCGAUGUUUAUCUUCGUGUAUUUAUUUGAAAAAAGAACGUAAAUAUUCGUAAUAGCGAUAUAAAUAACGUAAGCAGAUACGAUUCGAUCGAAGAUUUAUGGAUCUCAAGGCUUUUUAGCUGCUAAAUCAGAAACCUUGUUUAGCGGAUUCAAUUCGGCGAAGUUACAUUCAUUUUGUGCCUUCUCCCAUCUUAACUUUACUUCUAACGCCUCAAAUGCUCUUAGUGUCAUGGUCAAUCGAGUAAAUCCGUCACAUUGAAACCAUUCUAUCGCGUUGUAGCGCUAUCACAACCAUCGAAUCAGUGUAGUGUCGGUAUUGAAUCAGCGCAGGAAGAGUUUCUUCUACAUCUGUCGUAAUAUUAUCGUUCACUUUUUCCCGUAUGGUUUCAUCGAUGUAAUUCACUGGUUUAUUCCACGCUCUUUUCCGUGUCACACAUUUAACGCCCAACCAAGCAUAUGUCACCAUGUAACAGCAAUGCGUUAAAUUUAAUUGCUUGUGAAGUUGUUGUAUCACCUUUUUGCUAGUAGCGUCGUUGAUCGUUAACAAAAAUUUUCGUGGAAGAUUGAACAUUUUAUAUGCGAAACGUGUUCGCAUAAUGGAACGUUGGGAUGGCACGAUGUUUGAAUGAUAGAGAAUUCGAAUAGCAGAGUUCGAAUAAUCGAGGUUCCAGCGUACUCUGUAAAAGCUAUUUCAAAUAAUUUGUUACCGAAAAGGACGAAAAGAUGUUUCAGAGACGACCGGUGAAGUUAUAGAUAUCAAAAAGCCUGAUUUUAGUUAAAUUCUUCCUAAUUUUCGUACAACCUAAUAGUAUCGCGCGACAGUAAUAAACGAGAGGAGCAUUUCCUUCGUCGUUGUGUCGUCUCAUGUGAAUUCUUCUUAGCUGUGCAGCGUACUCUGACCAGGAACACGCAUCGUGACUAAAACGUAGUUAAAGUAGGCUGAUUAAGAAAAAAACAACCACGAUGUCACGCUUUCUUUGGAAAGGACAGGUCGUUUUUACGGUUGUCGUAUCUUUCAGUUUCACGAACUCCAGUUGGAGCUGCGAUACGGUCUAACGAGCUGUUCGAAAGCAAACAGUAGGCGAUCUACCGAGAUAGCGUGUUGUAUAGAUCAGAUACACGGUAACGAAGGAAUUAUAUUACUCUUAGCCGAUGAACCUUUGAUGAUUCCGUUUGAAGUCGACGUUUCCAGGCACCGGAAGCAAAGCAGCAAGAGUGGAGGCAGAAGCAAAAGCAGAAGCGGCAGAAGCUGAAGCGUUAGCAAGCACGAGGUACGGCGCACAACGCGUUAGGAGCACUGUCACCCUCGACUUGGCCGGCAGAGAGAAGGGUCUAGAUCGUGAGUUUGGCCGACGGUGCGGGUUUGGUAACAACGGUGGCUACGACGACGAGGAAGACGACAGCGACGACGACGACGACGACGAUGUCGGUGGGGUGUAGCAGGUCGAGGUGCGUGUAAAUUAAAGGCGUCAUAGAUUUUCGCGGUAGCCCGCAGGAUCAGGGCCUUAGAUUUGCGUCCGGCAGAUUACCCCGGGGGUGAAAUGGGACAAUGGGCGUUAGUCUG